UACGAAGGGGGCUAGCGUUGCUCGGAAUCACUGGGCGUAAAGCGCACGUAGGCGGACUCUUAAGUCGGUGGUGAAAUCCUGGAGCUCAACUCCAGAACUGCCUUCGAUACUGGGAGUCUCGAGUCCGGGAGAGGUGAGUGGAACUGCGAGUGUAGAGGUGAAAUUCGUAGAUAUUAGGAAGAACACCAGUGGCGAAGGCGGCUCACUGGCCCGGUACUGACGCUCAUGUGCGAAAGCGUGGGGAGCAAACAGG
rnacentral:rRNA from 1 species